UACGUAGGCAGCAAGCGUUGUUCGGAAUCACUGGGCGUAAAGGGCGCGUAGGCGGCACAGUUAGUCAGGCGUGAAAUUCCUGGGCUCAACCUGGGGAUUGCGCUUGAAACGGCUGAGCUUGAGGACGGAAGAGGGUCGUGGAAUUCCCAGUGUAGAGGUGAAAUUCGUAGAUAUUGGGAAGAACACCGGUGGCGAAGGCGGCGACCUGGUCCGUUACUGACGCUGAGGCGCGACAGCGUGGGGAGCAAACAGG
rnacentral:rRNA from 1 species